CGCGUAGGCGGGCCAUCAAGUCCGGGGUGAAAUCUUUCGGCUUAACCGGAAAAUUGCCUUGGAUACUGGUGGUCUUGAGGGAAGUAGGGGUCUGCGGAACUUCCGGUGGAGCGGUGAAAUGUGUUGAUAUCGGAAGGAACGCCGGUGGCGAAAGCGGCGGACUGGGCUUCUUCUGACGCUGAGGCGCGAAAGCUAGGGGAGCAAACG
rnacentral:rRNA from 1 species